rnacentral:rRNA from 1 species
AUGAAUACUUCUCUACCCAAUGGCUUGCAUAAUCUUGUUAGCCUGCGGCAUCUUAUUGCACAAAAGAGAGCCUAUUCUUCCAUUGCUAGCAUUGGUAACAUGACAUCUAUCCAGGAGCUACAUGAUUUUGAGGUCCGAAUUUCUAGAGGCUUUGAGAUUACACAACUCAAAUCCAUGAAUGAGCUUGUUCAACUUGGAGUGUCUCACCUUGACAGUGUUAAAACCCAGGAGGAGGCUUAUGAGGCAGGACUAAGAAACAAAGAACACUUAGAGGAGCUUCAUUUGUCCUGGAAUGAUACAUUUUCAGAGAACGAGUCUGUCAGUGACACUAGAUCUGAAUCUUCUGUAAACAUGGCAAGAGAAGUGAUUGAGGGUCUUGAACCACAUAUGGAUUUAAAGCAUCUACAUAUAUCUGGGUAUAAUGGUACUACUUCACCAACUUGGCUUGCCAGGAAUAUCUCAGUUACCUCCUUGCAGACACUUCAUCUUGAUGGUUGUGGAGGAUGGAAAAUACUUCCUUCUUUGGAAAGUCUUCCAUUUCUUACAAAACAAAAGUUGAGCAGCAUGCGGGAGAUAACAGAAGUAUUGGUUCCUUCACUGGAGGAACUAGUUUUACUCAAGAUGCCUAAGUUUGAUCUAUUUGAGAACAAUAAUAAAUUCGAAAUCAAGCAGAGGUCAUGGUUGCCUUCUCUUAGAAAAUUAAUUCUGUGUGAUUGCCCUCAAUUGAAAGUGUUGAAGUCCCUUCCGCCUUCAACAAUCUGUUCUGAGUUACUCAUCAGUGGAGUUUCCAUGCUUCCAGAUAUGGCGGGAUCAUCCAGCGGAAAUUUAAGUAUUGAUUAUGGUAAUCAGUAUAUAGACGAUGAUAUUGAUGAAUAUUCUGAUGUGUUGAGGAUACUGGAUGGAAAGUUUUUGGCAUUCCAUAAUCUUGGAAACCUCAAAUCGAUGAACAUAUGUGGUGCGACAAACCUGAGGUCUUUUUCGUUCCAAGGUUUUAGCCAUCUCAUCUCUUUAAGGAGUUUGGAAAUAAAAGAGUGCGAAAUACUUUUCUCUUCAGAUGUGACGCAGCCUACCCUUGAAGAUAUGACAACCUUCCCUUCACUUGGAAGUCUCACUAUUGAGUCAUGUGGAAUAGCAGGGAAGCAGCUAUCUCUGAUGUUGCAACUGUUGGAAAUAUGCCCUAGAGGCAAUAAUAAAAGUAUUAUUAUAUUUCAUUGUUCAUGA